AACGCGAAGAACCUUACCAGGCCUUGACAUCCAAUGAACUUUCCAGAGAUGGAUUGGUGCCUUCGGGAACAUUGAGACAGGUGCUGCAUGGCUGUCGUCAGCUCGCGUCGUGAGAUGUUGGGUUAAGUCCCGUAACGAGCGCAACCCUUGUCCUUAGUUACCAGCACGUAAUGGUGGGCACUCUAAGGAGACUGCCGGUGACAAACCGGAGGAAGGUGGGGAUGACGUCAAGUCAUCAUGGCCCUUACGGCCUGGGCUACACACGUGCUACAAUGGUCGGUACAGAGGGUUGCCAAGCCGCGAGGUGGAGCUAAUCCCAGAAAACCGAUCGUAGUCCGGAUCGCAGUCUGCAACUCGACUGCGUGAAGUCGGAAUCGCUAGUAAUCGCGAAUCAGAAUGUCGCGGUGAAUACGUUCCCGGGUCUUGUACACACCG
rnacentral:rRNA from 1 species